UGCAAGUUGUAUAAUGGGAAAAACAGUAUUUUCAUAGAAUCACAGGAUUAUUAAGGUUAGAAAAGUUCUCUAAGAUCAUCUAGUCCAAAUGUCAAUGCACUCCCCACAUGCCCACUGACCACAUCCCUCUGUUCCACAUCUCCACAGUUCUUGAAUAUCUCCAGGGAUGGUGACUCCACCGCUCCCUGGGCAGCUGUGCUAAUGCAUUACCACUCUUCCUGAGAAUAAAUUUUUCCUAAUAACCAACCCCAAACCUAUUUUGCCUAUCUGUGAUGAAUCCUUCUUGGAGCUGCUUAUGUGGGUGCUACAGGACUUUCUUCAGCUCAAGAGCAUCCUCACUGGAGAAGAACACACCUGGGGUUCAGCAGCAAUAGGAAACACCAGACCUAGGGCUAAAGGGCCAGUUAGCCAACAAAGACAACGAAUGGGAAGACGAAGCAUCAGGAGUAGAGUGUGGGUUGUCUCAGCCUGUACAGAGCAUCAGUGCCAGGAAUUUGGGAGUGAGAGAGGUGAGCAGAGGAGCAGAGGAAGAGCUGCUCUUCCAAACCCAUCCUAAAUGCCUGAGACGGUGACUGGGAAGGAGGGGACAGCCCAGGGGACGCCCUGCCAGCCCUGAUCCCAUCCAGGCUGCCCUGUUGGGAGUGCAGCAGCUCUAGUCAUGCUGUUUUUACAGAGGAGACUGAAGGUAAUUGAGUAAAAUCUGCUUCUGAUUAAAGAGAUUAUAUCUUGCUGAACGUUUCUUUCUUUCUUUUUUUUUUUUUUUUUUUUUUUUUUUUUUUUUUUAAAUCGCACUUAAAUGGCUUUUAUGUAGCUUGUUAUUCUGCAAUAAGAUUAACACCAAGGUGGAUUGAAUUACCUGUUAAUUCAACAUCUAAUUUGCUGGUACCUCCAUGGGGCAUCAAAGAUAUAUUUAAAGGCAUCCUGACAAUGGAUCCAUAGAGCACACAAUAAGGACAUCGUUACUAAAGAAGAUACAUCCCCAAAGAGACACAUCACAUUAACCCCAUCUGUAGAUGAGUAAUCAGAG
rnacentral:lncRNA from 1 species